UACGUAGGGUGCGAGCGUUGUCCGGAAUUACUGGGCGUAAAGAGCUUGUAGGCGGUCUGUCGCGUCUGCUGUGAAAAUCCGGGGCUCAACCCCGGACUUGCAGUGGGUACGGGCAGACUAGAGUGUGGUAGGGGAGACUGGAAUUCCUGGUGUAGCGGUGAAAUGCGCAGAUAUCAGGAGGAACACCGAUGGCGAAGGCAGGUCUCUGGGCCACUACUGGCGCUGAGAAGCGAAAGCAUGGGGAGCGAACAGG
rnacentral:rRNA from 1 species